rfam:Triticum aestivum genome assembly, contig: Triticum_aestivum_CS42_TGACv1_scaffold_271616_3DS
AUCCUACUCCCUCCGUUCGGAAUUACUUGUCGCGGAAAUGGAUAUAUCUAAACGUAUUUUAGUUUUAGAUACAUCCAUUUUCGAGAUAAGUAAUUCUGAACAGAGGGAGUACAAU